ACUGCCCUGCUGUGUACGUGAUGUAGCACCUCCGGUUUUGAGCCAACACUCUCUGUAAGGGGCCUUCAUCUUACAGAAGCAACGCGAUAGGCUCGAGCCAAGGCGGCGCUUCUGGGUCGAGGCCCACCUGCGCAAGCAGGUUCAAAACUUGGCUGCACACGGCAUAAGCGGGGUUUCU
rnacentral:other from 1 species